CAGAGGAUCGCAAGGCCCUCUGUCCAUACCGCCCGUCUUGGUCUCUGACUAAGAAAGACUUGAGAAGUUUACACCUGAGAGUGGGAGUUUAAAGCCCUCCAUGUAUUUUUAAAAUCUUUCCAAUGCCCGAUGCUCUGACAUUAUUCGCAUCCUACUUCAACACACAGGCCGGAGCUCAGCCACAGAGCAUGACAGCCCCAGCACAGCGCUUCAUUUUCACCAGCCACUCCUGGUUUUACUGCAGUGACACAGGGACACUGCAGACAGCAGUGUGAGGGAGCUGCCUGGAUGAUGAACUGGUGAGGCGGGAGAGCCCCCCAGGGGGGGGGGACUGAGAGGAAGCCCCUCCCUCAAGAUGGGGCUUGGCCCACGAGAGGGGACGAGAGAGCCGCUGAGGGUGCUGCGUAAAGGGGACACACAACUGGCUUGGGGGCCCCUAGGAUGGCCAGCCCAGCAGGCUCUAUAAAUGAGCAAAGGGAGGCCUUUUGAAGGGUGUUGAUCAACCUCUCCAUAGCUGUUCACUUCAAGCCUUAGACUAUCCGGGAGCUGGUAAGUCCAGCAGCUGUGAGUUUGGAUUAGCCGUGACCUAGCAGCUGACUGAAGGGGAGCUCAGUGUCAGGACGUUCCUCCAGCAAGCAGGAGCCCUGAAGAAAAAAUCUCAUCCUGCCUCUUCCUGGAUUAAAGCCUUUAACAGCUCCUCACUGGGCUCAGCUCAAAGUCCACUGCGGCUGACCUUUCCUGGCAUUGUGCGUCACCUCCACCCCCGUCCAUCCGCCCGCUGGAACAUGGAGUCUCUUCUGGGCCAUGGCUGAGCACCCCAGGGCUCAGCUCUUCUGGCACCCACAGACCUCGAGUGCCUGAGGGGGCAGAGUGCUCUGCCUGGCAGCCGUGCCAACCUGCUGAGAGGGGUGAGAGUCCUCCCCACCAUCCCAGUGGGCCUCCCUGGGUCCAGCUUUCCUUGCCCAGGCCACCCUGGGCCUCCUUCCUCCUCUCCAGGCUGCUUGUCCAGGGCAUCCAUCCCCUUCCCCAAUGCCCUCCAAACAUCGGGGCCAGUUUCUGAACCAAUGUCAUUUUUCCUUUCAAGGGUUUAAAAAAUAAACAGUCCUGGGCUGGG